rnacentral:rRNA from 1 species
UACGAAGGGGGCUAGCGUUGCUCGGAAUCACUGGGCGUAAAGCGCACGUAGGCGGAUUGUUAAGUCGGGGGUGAAAUCCUGGAGCUCAACUCCAGAACUGCCUUCGAUACUGGCGAUCUUGAGUCCGGGAGAGGUGAGUGGAACUCUGAGUGUAGAGGUGAAAUUCGUAGAUAUUCGGAAGAACACCAGUGGCGAAGGCGGCUCACUGGCCCGGUACUGACGCUGAGGUGCGAAAGCGUGGGGAGCAAACAGG